AGGGGCCACCUGUAGCUGGGGUCUGGGAAUGUGAAGAAUAACUCCCUGUGAAGCAACCAGGUGAAAAGGUACUUCUAUUAAGCAUUUGAAGUAGGACCAUAAAUAGAAGAAAAAAUGCUAUUGCUGCUUUUGCACCAACUUAAGAGAAGCCUCAACUUUCAAAUCAUGAACAUUUCUGGAUUAUCUAUUGAAUGCAAAAGAUUCUACUAGAUGCUGGAGG